rnacentral:tRNA from 1 species
GAGGGUAGAGCUCACUGGUGGAGCACGUGCUUAGCAUGCACAAGGCCCUGGGUUCAAUCCUGGGUACCUCCA